AAGCAAUGAUGACAUCUGCGCUUGAGUGAAGUAUGUGUUCUUCACAAUCGUCUGAUUUCCGGACGACACAUUAGCGCUUCCGAGCUU